GAGUAGCUGGCAGGGACCCCAGGCCUGAGCUCUGGCCCUCCUUAGUGGGUGGGCCUGUGUUCCCCUGUGCCAGGGCCUGUUGCAUGAUGGGGGUGGGGGAACAGUGUCUACAAGACAGGCCUUUUUGAUGAGACUGUAGAUACAAAUUUAGAUCUGCCCAAGUAAACAGAAAUACAGCCUGCCUUCCUCACAGUGUGACAGGCUAGGGGAGCCUUCUGGGUUAAGAGUGUGUGGCGUUUCUUUAUGGAAACACCGUGUUCCUUCGGGUUCUAGAUAGAAGAAAAUCCUGGCAGGCGCAGUGGGCUGUGGUCCCCAGGCGUCUCUUGGAUGGAGAUCACUCAUUUCCACUUCCUUCUCAUCUGUUUGUUCCCACCCUUCCUUCCUUGUUCAUUCCGGAGCUGACCCGACAGCAUCCUGGGAGCCAUGCAUCUUACUCGUCUGGGGAAAAUAAUUCACACUUAUUCUUUCCUAAGGGCGCUUAGCACAGAGCUUGGCCGUUAAUAAACACCAACAAGAUGAAUGAAUGGAGGCUCUCACUGCAACCUGAUUAGGUAGCUACCAGGCUAGUGAGCCCCAGGACACCCGCCCCUGCAUCUUUAAACCCUGAAUCACCGCCUCAGAUGAAGACAGGACUGGAGGGAGACGUCAGAGACCACGUGGUAGAGGAGGAUGAAGGAGUGAACAGAAAGAUGGAAGCUGCGUCCUCUGCCCUGUAGAUUCUUUA